CGCGUCCACUGGCAACGGUGGGCGUGACGGUGCAGAAGUCAGCAGAAGCCAUAGUAGGCAGCCAGGUGUCGGGCUGCCGAAGGGC
rfam:Nitrosomonas europaea ATCC 19718, complete genome